CAAAACAUGGAUACAAUUUCAAUUUAUUGCCUCUUUGCUGCCGCGAUCGCUUUAUCUAUCGUCACGAUAUGCGUGAACACGAUCACAAUCAUCGCAGCGACCACGAGAAAGGCGCUUGACAAGCCCUCAUACAAAUUCAUCCUCGGACUAGCAAUUGCAGACUGCAUGGUCGGCAUCGUUCUCCCCGCAAACGCAAUCUACAAAACCUUCGUGGAACAGCAUUAUGUGAAGGACACCUAUUCAAAAUAUUUCUGCCACUGCUUCUUGCCUAUUUUUUUGGUCUUGGCUUCGUGCAUCGCCUCCAAUAUCAUGCAGAUGAUUAUUGCGUUCGACCGGUGCGUGUCCGUCAUGAAACCUGUGCUGCACCAGAACUUUCUCACUGAGAGGCUAGCAAAUCGUAUAGUAUAUGCCGUUUUCACGUUUUCAACUGUAUUAAGCUCGAUGCCAAUCUACUGGAAUAACUUUCCAGACGGACGAAUAUCGAAUUUGUGUACGCUUUUAACCCUCACCUAUUCGUUUCAUAUUUACGUCCUCGUUCCUGCAUACGCAUUAAACCUGGUCUGCCUGGUUUUCAUCUACGUCCAGGUGCUCAGGGUCGUUGCCGCACGACUCACCAACAACGCGAAAACAAUGAAGGAAAUUUUUUUAUUGAAUAAAAUUAACUUAAUUUAUUUCAAUGACGUUUUCUUUUUUAGAUGGUUGCCGUGAUUCUGACGUGCCAAGUUAUUUGCUGGUUUCCGCACAUGGUGUGCACAUUUUUCUUGUUGAAAGGCGCUCUCCCGAAUAAGGACGACAGCCGCGAACAUGAAGAAUACAGAAACCCUGAGCUUUACUUUACCUACAACUGUUUCUUGCUGUUGGCCUCAUCCAGCUCAUUACUCAAUGCUUUACUGUACUCGUGGCGCAUGCCUGAUUUUCAUAAAGCAAUUAAAGCGAUGAUGUUUCGCAAUUAUCCAUCUACAGUGCCAGAGGAAAAUAUUGCCAAAAAAAACGCAACUCAUGAUGUCUUAAUUCCUCAUAAAAGCUAAAAUAACCAAAGAAUAGGCUUUCUGAAAGAAUUUAUAAUUUUUGAAAGUCAAAUUCCGCUUUCUUGUGGUUUGAAGCAUAUUUCCUUUCCCCAAAUAAACACUACGAAACUCAAAGCUUAAUUGAUUUUCAUUAGUAGUUUCCGGUGAGUAAUUUUUGGUGGCAGUAGGCUAUUUUUUCGACCUUUUGACCAGUGUGGCUUGCACAGCUGUGCUAUAUUCACGGUGGCUGGCGGCUGACC